UAGCCUAGUGGUUAGAGUGUAGAGGCGGCAGGGUAGCCUAGUGGUUAGAGUGUAGAGGCGGCAGGGUAGCCUAGUGGUUAGAGUGUAGAGGCGGCAGGGUAGCCUAGUGGUUAGAGUGUAGAGGCGGCAGGGUAGCCUAGUGGUUAGAGUGUAGAGGCGGCAGGGUAGCCUAGUGGUUAGAGUGUAGAGGCGGCAGGGUAGCCUAGUGGUUAGAGUGUAGAGGCGGCAGGGUAGCCUAGUGGUUAGAGUGUAGAGGCGGCAGGGUAGCCUAGUGGUUAGAGUGUAGAGGCGGCAGGGUAGCCUAGUGGUUAGAGUGUAGAGGCGGCAGGGUAGCCUAGUGGUUAGAGUGUAGAGGCGGCAGGGUAGCCUAGUGGUUAGAGUGUAGGGCGGCAGCGUAGCCUAGUGGUUAGAGUGUAGAGGCGGCAGGGUAGCCUAGUGGUUAGAGUGUAGAGGCGGCAGGGUAGCCUAGUGGUUAGAGUGUAGAGGCGGCAGGGUAGCCUAGUGGUUAGAGUGUAGAGGCGGCAGGGUAGCCUAGUGGUUAGAGUGUAGAGGCGGCAGGGUAGCCUAGUGGUUAGAGUGUAGAGGCGGCAGGGUAGCCUAGUGGUUAGAGUGUAGAGGCGGCAGGGUAGCCUAGUGGUUAGAGUGUAGAGGCGGCAGGGUAGCCUAGUGGUUAGAGUGUAGAGGCGGCAGGGUAGCCUAGUGGUUAGAGUGUAGAGGCGGCAGGGUAGCCUAGUGGUUAGAGUGUAGAGGCGGCAGGGUAGCCUAGUGGUUAGAGUGUAGAGGCGGCAGGGUAGCCUAGUGGUUAGAGUGUAGAGGCGGCAGGGUAGCCUAGUGGUUAGAGUGUAGAGGCGGCAGGGUAGCCUAGUGGUUAGAGUGUAGAGGCGGCAGGGUAGCCUAGUGGUUAGAGUGUAGAGGCGGCAGGGUAGCCUAGUGGUUAGAGUGUAGAGGCGGCAGGGUAGCCUAGUGGUUAGAGUGUAGAGGCGGCAGGGUAGCCUAGUGGUUAGAGUGUAGAGGCGGCAGCGUAGCCUAGUGGUUAGAGUGUAGAGGCGGCAGCGUAGCCUAGUGGUUAGAGUGUAGAGGCGGCAGCGUAGCCUAGUGGUUAGAGUGUAGAGGCGGCAGCGUAGCCUAGUGGUUAGAGUGUAGAGGCGGCAGGGUAGCCUAGUGGUUAGAGUGUAGAGGCGGCAGGGUAGCCUAGUGGUUAGAGUGUAGAGGCGGCAGGGUAGCCUAGUGGUUAGAGUGUAGAGGCGGCAGGGUAGCCUAGUGGUUAGAGUGUAGAGGCGGCAGGGUAGCCUAGUGGUUAGAGUGUAGAGGCGGCAGGGUGGCCUAGUGGUUAGAGUGUAGAGGCGGCAGGGUGGCCUAGUGGUUAGAGUGUAGAGGCGGCAGGGUGGCCUAGUGGUUAGAGUGUAGAGGCGGCAGGGUGGCCUAGUGGUUAGAGUGUAGAGGCGGCAGGGUGGCCUAGUGGUUAGAGUGUAGAGGCGGCAGGGUGGCCUAGUGGUUAGAGUGUAGAGGCGGCAGGGUGGCCUAGUGGUUAGAGUGUAGAGGCGGCAGGGUGGCCUAGUGGUUAGAGUGUAGAGGCGGCAGGGUGGCCUAGUGGUUAGAGUGUAGAGGCGGCAGCGUAGCCUAGUGGGUAGAGUGUAGAGGCGGCAGCGUAGCCUAGUGGGUAGAGUGUAGAGGCGGCAGCGUAGCCUAGUGGGUAGAGCGUUGGGACUAGUAACCGGAAGGUUGCGAGUUCAAACCCCCGAGCUGACAAGGUACAAAUCUGUCGUUCUGCCCCUGAACAGGCAGUUAACCCACUGUUCCCAGGCCGUCAUUGAAAAUAAGAAUGUGUUCUUAACUGACUUGCCUGGUUAAAUAAACAAAAAAAAAUAAAAAAUUAAAAACAUUUCUGAUCGUUAUGUUUGAUGUAGAGUUACAAGGUGACUUGGCAGAAUGGCAGUUUGUUUAUUGUGAAGAAAAAAAUCGCUGCGUCACACAAGACAUGAAUGACUCCUCUCCGUCUGCUCAAAUUACUAUCCGUUUGUCUGAGUUGCCUUGUGUAAGUCUGACACUGCAAUAUCAUAUUUUAUAACUUCCCUAGCCAUGUCGGGCAGUAGAACAGGCUUUCAGUUCAAGCCCACCUGACCCAGGUUGAGAUUCAUCAUGGACCGUUUCUGGACUGGGUGAAACGACAACAGUCAUUGUGUGACUGUGGGGAUGCAGGGUUGUGUUCCAAGACGAAACAACUACAAGUGUCCUCUAGUUCCUCACAGCUGGGAGAGGAGGAAAAACCCCUGAUAGCUGAAGACUGUUCGUUGAGUCAUAAAAGUGCAUUGAGAUGUCUUGUGAACUGUGGAGAGGUGUGUUGCCACUUGGAGACACCCCAGGUAGUCUUCUCACUCGGACCCUUGUAAUCGUUUUGUCUUAUGAACUCUGAACUCUGGAGAUGUGUGUUGCCACUUGGAGACACCCCAGGUAGUCUUCUCACUCAGACCCUUGUAAUCGUUUUGUCUUAUGAACUCUGAACUCUGAACUCUGGAGAGGUGUGUUGCCACUUGGAGACACCCCAGGUAGUCUUCUCACUCAGACUCUUGUAAUAGUUUUGUCUUGUGUUUCAUCUACCCCAGGUAGUCUUGUAAUCGUCUUGUCUUGUGUUUCAUCUACCCCAGGUAGUCUUGUAAUCGUUUUGUCUUGUGUUUCAUCUACCCCAGGUAGUCUUGUAAUCGUCUUGUCUUGUGUUUCAUCUACCCCAGGUAGUCUUGUAAUCGUUUUGUCUUGUGUUUCAUCUACCCCAGGUAGUCUUGUAAUCGUCUUGUCUUGUGUUUCAUCUACCCCAGGUAGUCUUGUAAUCGUUUUGUCUUGUGUUUCAUCUACCCCAGGUAGUCUUGUAAUCGUCUUGUCUUGUGUUUCAUCUACCCCAGGUAGUCUUGUAAUCGUCUUGUCUUGUGUUUCAUCUACCCCAGGUCGUCUUGUAAUCGUUUUGUCUUGUGUUUCAUCUACCCCAGGUAGUCUUGUAAUCGUCUUGUCUUGUGUUUCAUCUACCCCAGGUAGUCUUGUAAUCGUUUUGUCUUGUGUUUCAUCUACCCCAGGUAGUCUUGUAAUAGUCUUGUCUUGUGUUUCAUCUACCCCAGGUAGUCUUGUAAUCGUUUUGUCUUGUGUUUCAUCUACCCCAGGUAGUCUUGUAAUAGUUUUGUCUUGUGUUUCAUCUACCCCAGGUAGUCUUGUAAUCGUUUUGUCUUGUGUUUCAUCUACCCCAGGUAGUCUUGUAAUAGUUUUGUCUUGUGUUUCAUCUACCCCAGGUAGUCUUGUAAUAGUUUUGUCUUGUGUUUCAUCUACCCCAGGUAGUCUUGUAAUC